rnacentral:rRNA from 1 species
CCUACGGGCGGCAGCAGUGAGGAAUAUUGGUCAAUGGGCGCGAGCCUGAACCAGCCAAGUCGCGUGAGGGAUGACGGCCCUACGGGUUGUAAACCUCUUUUGCCGGGGAGCAACGCACGCCACGUGUGGCGCCUCUGAGAGUACCCGCAGAAAACGCAUCGGCUAACUCCGUGCCAGCAGCCGCGGUAAUACGGAGGAUGCGAGCGUUAUCCGGUUUGAUUGGGGUUAAGGGGUGCGUAGGCGGAAUAAUAAGUCAGUGGUAAAAUCGCGGGGCUCAACCGCUUUCCGCCGUUGAAACUGGCGCUCUUGAGUGGACGAGAAGUAUGCGGAAGGCGUGGGGUAGCGGUGAAAUGCAUAGAUAUCAUGAAGAACACCGAUGGCGAAGGCAGAAGUCCGG